AGUGAACGCUGGCGGUAGGCCUAACACAUGCAAGUCGAACGGCAGCACAGUAAGAGCUUGCUCUUACGGGUGGCGAGUGGCGGACGGGUGAGGAAUACAUCGGAAUCUACUUUUUCGUGGGGGAUAACGUAGGGAAACUUACGCUAAUACCGCAUACGACCUACGGGUGAAAGCAGGGGAUCUUCGGACCUUGCGCGAUUGAAUGAGCCGAUGUCGGAUUAGCUAGUUGGCGGGGUAAAGGCCCACCAAGGCGACGAUCCGUAGCUGGUCUGAGAGGAUGAUCGGCCACACUGGGACUGAGACACGGUCCAGACUCCUACGGGAGGCAGCAGUGGGGAAUAUUGGACAAUGGGCGCAAGCCUGAUCCAGCCAUACCGCGUGGGUGAAGAAGGCCUUCGGGUUUUAAAGCCCUUUUGUUGGGAAAGAAAAGCAGCAGGUUAAUACCCCGCUGUUCUGACGGUACCCAAAGAAUAAGCACCGGCUAACUUCGUG
rnacentral:rRNA from 1 species